GUGAAGAGGCCGGUCGGUCCUGGGACUGAGAACUUUCCCCGGGUGCGACGGUGGAUUUAAUUCCAGCAGCCAGCCCCGCGGCCGGGGCAGAGGGAUAUCCGGGGAUGUACCACAGUAAAACAGUCCCGAGAGUAAAUUUAUCCUUUGCUGAGGGAGAACCCCAGCGCCUCCUGCCCCCAUGAAAAGGGUGCCGAGAGGAAGAGCUGCAGUCCAAGGCCAGCUGAAACCCCGGGAACAUCACAUAACACCGUAACAUCAGUUCAGGUCCCGACGGGGACCAUUGCCCACCUGAGCACCCCGCGGGGCGGGUUCACAGCCGGGUCCCCACCACGGCCAAGAAGUGGUACCUGCCAAAAAGCCAAGUCUCCUGGGAGGGGUUGGAAGAUGCAUUUGCGGGAAGACAUUAGGAAUGAAGGAAAAACAGCUGGUAGAGAUGAGCUGGAAAGCUCUAUGUGUGUGUCUUUUGGAAUCCAACAAGAGAACUUCAGUUGAGAGAGAAGCAGGGAUACACUUCACAAAAUGUGUUCCAGCAGUGGGAAAGCUUCGGGAAACUGCUAAAAGCAUUAUACAUUGCAUAUUUCUCUGACCAG